GGAUCAGCACGCCGCGGUGAAUACGUUCCCGGGCCUUGUACACACCGCCCGUCACACCACGAGAGUUUGUAACACCCGAAGUCGGUGAGGUAACCUUUUGGAGCCAGCCGCCUAAGGUGGGAUAGAUGAUUGGGGUGAAGUCGUAACAAGGUAGCCGUAUCGGAAGGUGCGGCUGGAUCACCUCCUUU
rnacentral:rRNA from 2 species